rnacentral:rRNA from 1 species
GUGAGGAAUUUUCCGCAAUGGGCGAAAGCCUGACGGAGCAAUGCCGCGUGAAGGAUGAAGGCCUAUGGGUUGUAAACUUCUUUUCUUAGAGAAGAAUAUUGACGGUAUCUGAGGAAUAAGCAUCGGCUAACUCUGUGCCAGCAGCCGCGGUAAGACAGAGGAUGCAAGCGUUAUCCGGAAUGAUUGGGCGUAAAGCGUCUGUAGGUGGCUUCAAAAGUCUCCUGUCAAAGAUCAGGACUUAACCCUGGGCCGGCAGGCGGAACUUUGAGGCUAGAGUAUGGUAGGGGCAGAGGGAAUUCCCGGUGGAGCGGUGAAAUGCGUAGAGAUCGGGAGGAACACCAAAGGCGAAAGCACUCUGCUGGGCCACAACUGACACUGAGAGACUAAAGCGAGGGGAGCAAAAGGGAUUAGAUACCCCUGUAGUCC